rnacentral:rRNA from 1 species
CACGUAGGGUGCGAGCGUUGUCCGGAAUUAUUGGGCGUAAAGAGCUCGUAGGCGGUGUGUCGCGUCGGCCGUGAAAACCUGCAGCUUAACUGUGGGCUUGCGGUCGAUACGGGCAUCACUGGAGUUCGGCAGGGGGGACUGGAAUUCCUGGUGUAGCGGUGAAAUGCGCAGAUAUCAGGAGGAACACCGGUGGCGAAGGCGGGUCUCUGGGCCGAUACUGACGCUGAGGAGCGAAAGCGUGGGGAGCGAACAGG